UCUGAUUAUCAAGAAGCUUUAUUGUCUUCAUCAGAUUGAACAUCAUCAUCUUCCUCUUCAUCAUCGUCACCAUCAUCAUCCUCCUCAUUAUAGUCAUCAUUCUCAAUAUCCUCAUCAUCUUCAUCAUCACCAUCAUCCUCCUUACCACCACCACUACCAUCAUCACCAUCUUCAUCAUCAACACCUGUGUGCUGGACGUCAGGAGGCUGUUAACAUGCAGCUGAGCCGGGCAGACAGACAGGAAGACAGACGGAUAACGGAGGAAACAGACAGACAGACAGAGGUAGGUCAGACAGAACGGACGCCAAAGGGGGGCAGAGAGGUAGACAGCUGGGCAGGUAGUCAAGUAGGGGAACAGACAGGUGGUCGUCAGGCAGAGACAGGCAGGUAGAUAUGAGGACUGUCUCAGGUAGUGGCAGACAGACAGGUGGUCGUCAGGCAGAGACAGGCAGGUAGAUAUGAGGACUGUCUCAGGUAGUGGCAGACAGACAGGUGGUCGUCAGGCAGAGACAGGCAGGUAGAUAUGAGGACUGUCUCAGGUAGUCGCAGACAGACAGGUGGUCGUCAGGCAGAGACAGGCAGGUAGAUAUGAGGACUGUCUCAGGUAGUCGCAGACAGACAGGUGGUCGUCAGGCAGAGACAGGCAGGUAGAUAUGAGGACUGUCUCAGGUAGUCGCAGACAGACAGGUGGUCGUGAGGCAGAGACAGGCAGGUAGAUAUGAGGACUGUCUCAGGUAGUGGCAGACAGACAGGUGGUCGUCAGGCAGAGACAGGCAGGUAGAUAUGAGGACUGUCUCAGGUAGUCGCAGACAGACAGGUGGUCGUCAGGCAGAGACAGGCAGGUAGAUAUGAGGACUGUCUCAGGUAGUCGCAGACAGACAGGUGGUCGUCAGGCAGAGACAGGCAGGUAGAUAUGAGGACUGUCUCAGGUAGUAGCAGACAGACAGGUGGUCGUCAGGCAGAGACAGGCAGGUAGAUAUGAG
ensembl:lncRNA